rnacentral:rRNA from 1 species
CCUACGGGAGGCAGCAGUGAGGAAUAUUGGUCAAUGGGCGAAAGCCUGAACCAGCCAAGUCGCGUGAGGGAUGAAUGCCCUAUGGGUGGUAAACUUCUUUUAUAGAGGAGUAAAACCGGGCACGUGUCCCUUUUUGCAUGUACUUUAUGAAUAAAGAUAGGCUAACUCCGUUCCAUGCGCCGCGGUAAUACGGAGGGUCGGAGCGUUGUCCGGAUUUAUUUGGUUUAAAGGGAGCGUAGGUGGGUGGUUAAGUCAGUUGUGAAAGAUUGGGGCUCAACCGUAGAAUGGCAGUUGAUACUGGGAGUCUUGAGUGCAGUAGAGGUAGGUGGAAUUCGUGGUGUAGCGGUGAAAGGCGUAGAUAUCACGAAGAACCCCGAUUGCGAAGGCAGCUUUCUGGCCUGUAACUGACGCUGAGGCUCGAAAGUGGGGGUAUCAAACAGGAUUAGAUACCCUUGUAGUC